UACGUAGGCAGCGAGCGUUGUUCGGAGUUACUGGGCGUAAAGGGUGCGUAGGCGGUCUUUUAAGUUCGGUGUGAAAUCUCCCGGCUCAACUGGGAGGGUGCGCCGGAAACUGAGGGACUAGAGUGCGGGAGGGGAGAGCGGAAUUCCUGGUGUAGCGGUGAAAUGCGUAGAUAUCAGGAGGAACACCGGUGGUGCAGACGGCUCUCUGGACCGUAACUGACGCUGAGGCACGAAAGCGUGGGUAGCAAACAGG
rnacentral:rRNA from 1 species